rnacentral:rRNA from 1 species
AUUGAACGCUGGCGGCAUGCUUUACACAUGCAAGUCGAACGGCAGCGCGGGCUUCGGCCUGGCGGCGCGUGGCGAACGGGUGAGUAAUGCAUCGGAACGUGCCCAGUAGUGGGGGAUAACACCGCGAAAGCAGGAUUAAUACUGCAUAAGACCAGAGGGUGCAAGCGGGGGACCGAAAGGACUCGUGCUAUUGGAGCGGCCGAGGUCGGACUAGCUAGUUGGUGGGGUAAGGGCUUACCAAGGCGACGAUCCGUAGCUGGUCUGAGAGGGCGACUAGCCGCACGGGGACUGAGACACGGCCCAGACUCCUACGAGAGGCAGCAGUGUGGAAUUUUAGACAGUGGGGGCAACCCUGAUCCAGCCAUGCCGCGUGCGGGAAGGAGGCCUUCGGGGUGUAAACCGCUUUUGUUCGGGAAGAAAUCCUCUGGGCUAAUACCCCGGGGGGAUGACGGUACCGGAAGAAUAAGCACCGGCUAACUACGUG